UCUCUAGGGUUCAUAUAGGUUUUUUAGCAUAAUGAAAGUUUCUUUCCUAACAUUUUGCUCAAUGAUUGUAGCAGGUAAAUCAUAUGAAGUGGUCAGUUGUAGAGCACUGGACCCAGAUGCGACGGUCUUUCUAUCUUCUGAGUCCGGGACAAAAAUUGGUAACUCCUACUCGGCAUUUUCUUUCAUAAUACAAAGUUCCUUUGCAUAUUGCUAUACUUAUAUCUGCUUAUUUACUCAUAUAAUCUCACAACACUCGGAAUGUGUAAUGUCUCUUUGGAUAUGGCAUCUCUAUAUGUUCUUUUGUGAUGUUGUUCAAGUACAAAGCUAUUCUAUUGACCGAUGAGGCUUCAUGCUUCAUAAUCUUAUUUUUCUCUGUUACGGCGUGGAAUUAAUUUCUGAGUAGGGCGGACCAUUAU
rnacentral:lncRNA from 1 species